rnacentral:tmRNA from 1 species
GGGGCUGCUUAGGUUUCGACAGAAGUAAUGUCUCUUUAGAUUGCAAGUCGAAGGCACGCGUUAAGUGCAACAACAAAAUAACUGGAAACAGAAAUCAAUUAGCUUUCGCUUAAUUUAUUAGAAGGCUGCUCUUUAUUUACUUUUGCCAACGAAGUUUAUAAAGGGCUCGAUUUAGUUGGCUAUAUCAUAAUUAAGCCUGGUGAUUAUGACGAAUUUUACAGGCUAACUAAUAACUAAGUUGUCAAUUGAUUGGUUAUUAGCAAAUAUUUAAUUGACUAAACUUGUAGUAGUUUACUGGGAUAUACUUUUGGACAGGAGUUCGAUUCUCCUCAGCUCCACCA